UACGUAGGGGGCAAGCGUUGUCCGGAAUCAUUGGGCGUAAAGAGCGCGUAGGCGGUACGGUAAGUCCGCUCUGAAAGUCCGGGGCUCAACCCCGGGAGGCGGGCGGAUACUGUCGGGCUAGAGUCCGGAAGAGGCGAGUGGAAUUCCUGGUGUAGCGGUGAAAUGCGCAGAUAUCAGGAGGAACACCAAUGGCGAAGGCAGCUCGCUGGGACGGUACUGACGCUGAGACGCGAAAGCGUGGGGAGCAAACAGG
rnacentral:rRNA from 1 species